GGGCAAAACAGAAUUUCCAAAAUUACUUUUGAUUUUGUAUAACAACUUGAAAAACUCCCAACAUGAAAGUUGUUCAACUUUUUGUGCUCUACAACUUUCAUGUUGACCAUUUUUCAAAAUUCCAAAUGGAUUUUGAAUUGGGGGUUUAAGUUGGAAAAGGGGACACUUUCUGGAAAUCUGUAUUUUCAAAAUUACUUUGAAUUUUGUAUUGAAACUUCAAAAACUCAAAACACCAAAGUUGUACAUCUUGCCAGGAUCUACAACUUUGCUUUUGAACUCAACCUCAAAUUUUGCUUAGUUUUUGAAUUACACAAAAGGGGGCAGUUCUAGGGUUCAAAAAUCAGGGUUUUCCCCCCUUAGCUCUUCGGAAAUCUUUCACCCUAGGGUUUUAGCAUCCAACACAAGCAUCCAAACACAAUGUAAGCACACUUUAAUUCCCUAAGCACAAGCACUCAAAGUAAACUUAUUUUAAAUUGAUGCAUACUAAUGUGCUUUAACAAUUAUGAUUUGCAAUGCUCAUGAUGACAUGAUCCGUUUUUAGUAACCGUAACAUCAGGGAUGUUACAGCCCUUCCCCCUUAAAGAAAUCUCGUCCCCGAGAUUUAAAACCUUAGGGUAAGUAAUGGAAAAGGAAAUUUGUCAAAACUCUUUCAUCUUCAACUUUUCCAUAAGGCAAGGAGUUGGGGAAAAAAAAAAGAAAAAAAAAACUUCAUUAUAUGCAUAUAUGUACAUUAAGUACAUGGCUUUGGUGACUCUUUUUCCUUACUGGAGUACAUUCUCGGGUUAUCAUAUAUUGUCCUGAAGAGAAGCAUGGAAUUCAGGAAAAUUCUCUAGCAAGUAAUCUUCAGAUUCCCAGGUGGCUUCCUCCUCAGAGUGUUGGCUCCAUUGUACUUUAUACCAUUUAGUGGUUGUCCUUCGAGUAACUCUAGCUUUUUGAUCCAGUACUCGGAUAGGAUAUUCCGAAUAAGUUAGAUCUGGUUCAAGCUUUACAUCUUCGAUAUCUUGAACUCGAUCCGGUACCCGAAGACACUUUUUCAGUUGAGACACAUGGAACACAUUAUGUACCCCGG
rnacentral:lncRNA from 1 species